rnacentral:lncRNA from 1 species
AGUCCGGUCUCUGCUUUUGGAGCGCGUGGGCUCUGCGAGCGCCAGGGCUGGGGACCCUGGAAUACCUGUUCCUCCAGCACGAGGAUGGGGUCCAACUAGUGGUCCUCUAAAUCCUGCUCCUUCCCCGAGGCUACGGGAAGCGCUCCAGCCACAAGGAAACGGCUCCAGUCUUUCGGCUCCCAAACGUGACACUCUAUAUAUCCGGCUCGGAGACUGGGUGUGGGGCGGGAGGAAACCACCCUCCCUCCGACCUUCCCCGGCUCCGCCGCUGCCUCGGCACUGGGCGCGAAACCGGCGGCAGCCUCAGCCCGGGGCGGGAGGAGGGUGAGGGGCCAGCGAAGGCCCUACAGGUCGCGGGGGCGACAGCAUCGUGGGCAGGGCGGCCGCGCGCGCAGGCCCGCCCCGCGCUUCCAUUCGUUCAGCACCAGCGGAUCCACUGGCUAUGACUCCCGCAUUUGUGUGGUUUGGGGGAGGGGAGUUGGUUUUGGUUUCGGUGGGUUUGGUUUGUUUGUUUGUUUGGGGCUUUUGUUUUGUUUUGUUUUGGGUUUUGGGGUUGGUUUUUUUCUCCAUUUUUUAAUCAGUGGGCGAGGGGACAAGGAAGCUAGAAAGGCGCCCCUCUCUGGUGUGGGAAAGGAGAACUCCCACACCGUGAAAGGUGGCGGGGUAGGGGGGUGGAGGGAGAGACCGAGACAGGAGAGAGAUUCAAAGGUUCUAGUCUGAACUGAACGCUUGGGGGACAUACCUUUCCCCACCCACCCUAGCAGAAAAGGCAGCCAAAAAUCCCAGUUUACUCAGCUUGACUACACUGCACAUCCCGUGGGAGGGAUGCUCUUGUAUCUGCUAAAGACAUUGCGGAGGCGCCCUGCAGUGACCCACGAACGCAGUGGCUUUUUAAAACCCAAGGGCGUGAGGGUGGAGGGUGAUGCGAGGACUUCAGGUGAGGCUUCCUCACACUCGGGGUUUGAAGGGCAGAAAUCCGGCUCUGCCUGCCUAUGGUGGGGUGGGGGUGGGUAGGAGACUAGAAAGGAUCAGAGAUGGGGGCCGCAGAAACAGCAGUGAGCCAGCUGUGCUCAGCAGCACUUCUCCGGACUUAAAAGAAAAAAAGAUGUUUCAUUUCUUAGCCUGGUAGCUUUUUUGGGAUUUGGUCAUUGUUAAAUUUUAAACGGAAAAACAAGCUGCCAGGGAAGCCUUGUAGAGGGAUGGACAGGCACGUGAGUGGAGCCCUUGGCCUCAACCAGGAAGUGCUGAAAAACGGCCAACGCCCAUCCUAAUUCCCUGGACAAUGUAGGAGGUGUUUUGAACCUUCAACACAUUUAACAGACUUCCUAAAGUCAAACUUCAGCUUCAAAAAUUGUCUUUCCUAACCUCUAGCUUUUGGAUGCUACAGAGGGCUCUUGGAGUAUUCAAAAGAAAGGUAAACAGGAUUAUUUCACAUGUUUAGUUACAUGGGAUUGCCAAAAUAAUGUUUAAUCUUCUUCAGGUUAUAUUUCAGUGAAUAAUAUUAAUAUAUGUUCCAAAAUUGUAUGGGAUUUUAAAAAUUCUAAUGUCUGAAUAUAUGCUAUCAAUCAUAAUUAAGUUUAUUAUGUCAAGUUAUUGUAAACCACAGAAAUAACUACAUUUCUUUGUCAAUUGUGUUUUUGACUGUAACUACCCUGGAUAUUUUGUCAUUCACAGAUAAGUGUUGCCUUGCUUUAAUCCUUUUCAAAAGAUGGUUUAUAAUCAGCUAUAGGACUUUGACAGGUGCUGUUAAAUGUAGGUUUCUGAUAUCUCUGAAGAUUGUAAUAUUGGAACAAAGGAAAAAUGUACAGGACACCUGAAGAGUUGAAAUGUUCAUGGAUAUCAAACAGAAUAAAAGUUAACAGAAUGGACUGAACUAACAGAAAACUGAAGUAAUCUUUUUAACCUUUGUGCUUAAAUCCUUGCUGAUACUUGUUUUGUUUCUCAGAAUCAAGGAAACUUAUUUUGAGCUAUUUACAGUGUUUAAUAAUUGAGUAAAAUAUAUACCUGUGAACAAAAUUUCAAACAUAUUUGUUGCUCUCUGCCUGGCUUCUCCAGAAUUUGAAAACUAUUUGUGAGUAUUCUUAGCUUAUGGCAAUAUACUUAUUUGCAUUAGUGCAAUAAGAAUCCAUUUUCUUUUGCAACAGGACACAAUUGGAGAAACUGGAUGUUUUACCAAGGCUUUGGCUGGAAGGAUAUGCUUCCCUUUAAGGAAUCAAGUUUGACUUGCAGAGGCAAUAAAAGCCCCCUGGGAAAACUGGCCUCAUACUUUGUUUACACAGCCCCCAUACAGGGUUUCUAAACUGUGGUGAGUAAAGAAUGUCACUUUUUUUUUUUUUUUUUUUUGAGAUGGAGUCUUGCUCUGUUGCCCAGGCUGGAGUGCAGUGGCAUGAUCUCGGCUCACUGCAAACUCCACCUCCUGGGUUCACGCCAUUCUCCUGACUCAGCCUCCCAAGUAGCUGGGACUACAGGCACCCACCACCACACCCGGCUAAGUUUUUGUAUUUUUAGUAGAGACGGAGUUUCACCAUGUUAGCCAGGAUGGUCUCGGUCUCCUGACCUUGUGAUCUGCCCUCUGCAGCCUCCCAAAGUGCUGGGAUUACAGGUGUGAGCCAUUGCGCCUGGCCAAGUAUGUCACUUUCUAUCAGGCCCAGGAGCCCCAUGCUUUUGCCACCUUAAGAAGAGAGGAAUUUACCUAACUCAUAGGUAUUUGAGGGUACAAACCCAUUGUUAAGCUCAGCUUUAAAAGGUCUUAUCUGAAAUUCCUUGUGGAAGAGAGUUCCAUCAAAGCCAAUUUAAAAGUGUCAGGCCUCUGAGCCCAAGCUAAGCCAUCAUAUCCCCUGUGACCUGCACGUAUACAUCCAGAUGGCCUGAAGUAACUGAAGAAUCAGAAAAGAAGUAAUAUUUAAAUGGCCUGUUCCUGCCUUAACUGAUGACAUUCCACCACAAAAGAAGUGAAAAUGGCUGGUCCUUGCCUUAACUGAUGACAUUACCUUGUGAAAUUCCUUCUCCUGGCUCAUCCUGGCCUAAAAAGCUCCCUGACUGAGCACUUUGUGACCCCCACUCCUGCCUGCCAGAGAACAACCCCUCUUUUUCCUUUACCUACCCAAAUCUUAUAAAACAGCCCCACCCCUAUCUCCCUUUGCUGACUCUCUUUUUGGACUCAGCCUGCCUGCACCCAGGUGAAAUAAACAGCCUUGUUGCUCACACAAAGCCUGUUUGGUGGUCUCUUCACAUGGAUGCGAGUUAAAUUUUGGUGCUGUGACUCAGAUCAGGGGACCUCCCUUGGCAGAUCAAUCCCCUGUCCUCCUGCUCUUUGCUCCGUGAGAAAGAUCCACCUACAACCUCAGAUCCUCAGACUGACCUGCCCAAG